rnacentral:lncRNA from 1 species
CAGAGGAUUUCAAGUAUACAUCUUUAUCAAGCAUGAGUUAAGAGCCCAACUGGUGGUGAGGAACGAAGGAGCAGGGAUAGUACUACAGAGGACAAAGAAGAAAAUAAAGUGGCCCUGUCCUAUCACUAAAGCCAAUGCUUUGUCUCAAGAAAUCAGUGAGCUGUGGCCAACUGGAAUAAUUUUUGUCCUCUAAAACACAAAGGAAGUCGUACAUAGCUCCUUUUCCUACAGGAAAAACAACAUGGUAUAAUGGAAGAAGAACAUAUUCUAAAAUAAGGCACAGAUGCUACAGCUGAACUUCUGCCAUAAUAAAGAGCUUAUUUCCCUGUGCCAAGCACCACCUCUUUACCACCA